rnacentral:rRNA from 1 species
CAGUCGCCACGGUAAUACGAAGGGUGCAAGCGUUACUCGGAAUUACUGGGCGUAAAGCGUGCGUAGGUGGUGGUUUAAGUCCGUUGUGAAAGCCCUGGGCUCAACCUGGGAAUUGCAGUGGAUACUGGGUCACUAGAGUGUGGUAGAGGAUAGUGGAAUUUCCGGUGUAGCAGUGAAAUGCGUAGAGAUCGGAAGGAACAUCUGUGGCGAAGGCGACUAUCUGGGCCAACACUGACACUGAGGCACAAAAGCGUGGGGAGCAAACAGGAUUAGAUACCCCUGUAGUCCCUGUCUCUUAUAC